rnacentral:rRNA from 1 species
AGGGUGACAGGUGGUGCAUGGUUGUCGUCAGCUCGUGUCGUGAGAUGUUGGGUUAAGUCCCGCAACGAGCGCAACCCUCGACCUUAGUUGCCAGCAUUCAGUUGGGCACUCUAAGGGUGACUGCCGGCUAAAAGUCGGAGGAAGGUGGGAUGACGUCAAAUCAUCAUGCCCCUUAUGACCUGGGCACACACGUGCUACAAUGGGCGGUACAAAGGGUCGCGAACCCGCGAGGGGGAGCCAAUCCCAAAAAGCCGCUCUCAGUUCGGAUUGCAGGCUGCAACUCGCCUGCAUGAAGCCGGAAUCGCUAGUAAUCGCGGAUCAGCAUGCCGCGGUGAAUACGUUCCCGGGCCUU